rnacentral:rRNA from 1 species
UACGGAGGGUGCAAGCGUUAUCCGGAUUCACUGGGCUUAAAGGGUGCGUAGGUGGGCAGGUAAGUCAGUGGUGAAAUCUCUGGGCUUAACUCAGAAACUGCCAUUGAUACUAUCUGUCUUGAAUACCGUGGAGGUCAGCGGAAUAUGUCAUGUAGCGGUGAAAUGCUUAGAUAUGACAUAGAACACCAAUUGCGAAGGCAGCUGGCUGGGCGAAUAUUGACACUGAUGCACGAAAGCGUGGGGAGCAAACAGG